rnacentral:tRNA from 1 species
CAUUGAGAAGCUAUUACAGCGUUAACCUUUUAAGUUAAAGAUUGAGAGUAUUAACCCUCUCCUUAAUGA